rnacentral:rRNA from 1 species
UACGAAGGGGGGCUAGCGUUGCUCGGAAUCACUGGGCGUAAAGGGUGCGUAGGCGGGUCUUUAAGUCAGGGGUGAAAUCCUGGAGCUCAACUCCAGAACUGCCUUUGAUACUGAAGAUCUUGAGUUCGGGAGAGGUGAGUGGAACUGCGAGUGUAGAGGUGAAAUUCGUAGAUAUUCGCAAGAACACCAGUGGCGAAGGCGG